rnacentral:rRNA from 1 species
GCAUGCCGCGUGCAUGAUGAAGGCCUUCGGGUUGUAAACUGCUUUUGUACGGAACGAAACGGUGAGCUCUAAUACAGUUUGCUAAUGACGGUACCGUACCAAUAACCACCGGCUAACUACGUGCCAGCAGCCGCGGUAAUACUUAUGGUGCGAGCGUUAAUCGGAAUUACUGGGCGUAAAGCGUGCGCAAGCGGGGAUGUAAGACCGAUGUGAAAUCCCCGGGCUCAACCUGUUACCUGCAUUUGUGACUGCAUCGCUUGAGUACGGUAAAGGGGGAUGGAAUUCCGCGUGUAACAAUGAAAUGCGUAAAUAUGCGGAGGAACACCGAUGGCGAAGGCAAUCCCCUGGACCUGUACUGACGCUCAUGCACAAAAGCGUGGGGAGCAAACAGGAUUANAUACCCUGGUAAUCCACGCCCUAAACGAUGUCAACUGGUUGUUGGGUCUUCACUGACUCUNUAACGAAGCUA